GACGAACGCUGGCGGCGUGCCUAAUACAUGCAAGUCGAACGAACUCUGGUAUUGAUUGGUGCUUGCAUCAUGAUUUACAUUUGAGUGAGUGGCGAACUGGUGAGUAACACGUGGGAAACCUGCCCAGAAGCGGGGGAUAACACCUGGAAACAGAUGCUAAUACCGCAUAACAACUUGGACCGCAUGGUCCGAGUUUGAAAGGUGGCUUCGGCUAUCACUUUUGGAUGGUCCCGCGGCGUAUUAGCUAGAUGGUGGGGUAACGGCUCACCAUGGCAAUGAUACGUAGCCGACCUGAGAGGGUAAUCGGCCACAUUGGGACUGAGACACGGCCCAAACUCCUACGGGAGGCAGCAGUAGGGAAUCUUCCACAAUGGACGAAAGUCUGAUGGAGCAACGCCGCGUGAGUGAAGAAGGGUUUCGGCUCGUAAAACUCUGUUGUUAAAGAAGAACAUAUCUGAGAGUAACUGUUCAGGUAUUGACGGUAUUUAACCAGAAAGCCACGGCUAACUACGUGCCAGCAGCCGCGGUAAUACGUAGGUGGCAAGCGUUGUCCGGAUUUAUUGGGCGUAAAGCGAGCGCAGGCGGUUUUUUAAGUCUGAUGUGAAAGCCUUCGGCUCAACCGAAGAAGUGCAUCGGAAACUGGGAAACUUGAGUGCAGAAGAGGACAGUGGAACUCCAUGUGUAGCGGUGAAAUGCGUAGAUAUAUGGAAGAACACCAGUGGCGAAGGCGGCUGUCUGGUCUGUAACUGACGCUGAGGCUCGAAAGUAUGGGUAGCAAACAGGAUUAGAUACCCUGGUAGUCCAUACCGUAAACGAUGAAUGCUAAGUGUUGGAGGGUUUCCGCCCUUCAGUGCUGCAGCUAACGCAUUAAGCAUUCCGCCUGGGGAGUACGGCCGCAAGGCUGAAACUCAAAGGAAUUGACGGGGGCCCGCACAAGCGGUGGAGCAUGUGGUUUAAUUCGAAGCUACGCGAAGAACCUUACCAGGUCUUGACAUACUAUGCAAAUCUAAGAGAUUAGACGUUCCCUUCGGGGACAUGGAUACAGGUGGUGCAUGGUUGUCGUCAGCUCGUGUCGUGAGAUGUUGGGUUAAGUCCCGCAACGAGCGCAACCCUUAUUAUCAGUUGCCAGCAUUAAGUUGGGCACUCUGGUGAGACUGCCGGUGACAAACCGGAGGAAGGUGGGGAUGACGUCAAAUCAUCAUGCCCCUUAUGACCUGGGCUACACACGUGCUACAAUGGAUGGUACAACGAGUUGCGAACUCGCGAGAGUAAGCUAAUCUCUUAAAGCCAUUCUCAGUUCGGAUUGUAGGCUGCAACUCGCCUACAUGAAGUCGGAAUCGCUAGUAAUCGCGGAUCAGCAUGCCGCGGUGAAUACGUUCCCGGGCCUUGUACACACCGCCCGUCACACCAUGAGAGUUUGUAACACCCAAAGUCGGUGGGGUAACCUUUUAGGAACCAGCCGCCUAAGGUGGGACAGAUGAUUAGGGUG
rnacentral:rRNA from 2 species